GUAGGUGGCAAGCGUUGUCCGGAAUUAUUGGGCGUAAAGCGCGCGCAGGCGGUUCUUUAAGUCUGAUGUGAAAGCCCACGGCUCAACCGUGGAGGGUCAUUGGAAACUGGAGAACUUGAGUACAGAAGAGGAAAGCGGAAUUCCACGUGUAGCGGCGAAAUGCGUAGAGAUGUGGAGGAACACCAGUGGCGAAGGCGGCUUUCUGGUCUGUAACUGACGCUGAGGCGCGAAAGCGUGGGGGAGCAAACAGGAUUAGAUACCCUGGUAGUCCACGCCGUAAACGAUGAGUGCUAAGUGUUAGGGGGUUUCCGCCCCUUAGUGCUGCAGCUAACGCAUUAAGCACUCCGCCUGGGAGUACGGCCGCAAGGCUG
rnacentral:rRNA from 1 species